GGUUAAGCGACUAAGCGUACACGGUGGAUGCCCUGGCAGUCAGAGGCGAUGAAGGACGUGCUAAUCUGCGAAAAGCGUCGGUAAGGUGAUAUGAACCGUUAUAGCCGGCGAUGUCCGAAUGGGGAAACCCAGUGCAAUUCGUUGCACUAUCGUUAACUGAAUACAUAGGUUAACGAGGCGAACCGGGGGAACUGAAACAUCUAAGUACCCCGAGGAAAAGAAAUCAACCGAGAUUCCCCCAGUAGCGGCGAGCGAACGGGGAGCAGCCCAGAGUCUGAAUCAGCUUGUGUGUUAGUGGAACGGUCUGGAAAGUCCGACGGUACAGGGUGAUAGUCCCGUACACCAAAAUGCACAGGUUGUGAACUCGAAGAGUAGGGCGGGACACGUGGUAUCCUGUCUGAAUAUGGGGGGACCAUCCUCCAAGGCUAAAUACUCCUGACUGACCGAUAGUGAACCAGUACCGUGAGGGAAAGGCGAAAAGAACCCCGGCGAGGGGAGUGAAAAAGAACCUGAAACCGUGUACGUACAAGCAGUGGGAGCACCUUCGGGUGUGACUGCGUACCUUUUGUAUAAUGGGUCAGCGACUUAUAUUCUGUAGCAAGGUUAACCGUAUAGGGGAGCCGCAGGGAAACCGAGUCUUAACUGGGCGUUAAGUUGCAGGGUAUAGACCCGAAACCCGGUGAUCUAGCCAUGGGCAGGUUGAAGGUUGGGUAACACUAACUGGAGGACCGAACCGACUAAUGUUGAAAAAUUAGCGGAUGACUUGUGGCUGGGGGUGAAAGGCCAAUCAAACCGGGAGAUAGCUGGUUCUCCCCGAAAGCUAUUUAGGUAGCGCCUCGUGAAUUCAUCUUCGGGGGUAGAGCACUGUUUCGGCUAGGGGGUCAUCCCGACUUACCAACCCGAUGCAAACUACGAAUACCGAAGAAUGUUAUCACGGGAGACACACGGCGGGUGCUAACGUCCGUCGUGAAGAGGGAAACAACCCAGACCGCCAGCUAAGGUCCCAAAGUCAUGGUUAAGUGGGAAACGAUGUGGGAAGGCACAGACAGCCAGGAUGUUGGCUUAGAAGCAGCCAUCAUUUAAAGAAAGCGUAAUAGCUCACUGGUCGAGUCGGCCUGCGCGGAAGAUGUAACGGGGCUAAACCAUGCACCGAAGCUGCGGCAGCGACACUAUGUGUUGUUGGGUAGGGGAGCGUUCUGUAAGCCUGCGAAGGUGUGCUGUGAGGCAUGCUGGAGGUAUCAGAAGUGCGAAUGCUGACAUAAGUAACGAUAAAGCGGGUGAAAAGCCCGCUCGCCGGAAGACCAAGGGUUCCUGUCCAACGUUAAUCGGGGCAGGGUGAGUCGACCCCUAAGGCGAGGCCGAAAGGCGUAGUCGAUGGGAAACAGGUUAAUAUUCCUGUACUUGGUGUUACUGCGAAGGGGGGACGGAGAAGGCUAUGUUAGCCGGGCGACGGUUGUCCCGGUUUAAGCAUGUAGGCUGGUUGUCCAGGCAAAUCCGGAUAAUCAAGGCUGAGGUGUGAUGACGAGGCACUACGGUGCUGAAGUAACAAAUGCCCUGCUUCCAGGAAAAGCCUCUAAGCAUCAGGUAACAUCAAAUCGUACCCCAAACCGACACAGGUGGUCAGGUAGAGAAUACCAAGGCGCUUGAGAGAACUCGGGUGAAGGAACUAGGCAAAAUGGUGCCGUAACUUCGGGAGAAGGCACGCUGGUGUGUAGGUGAAGCCCCUGCGGGUGGAGCUGAGACCAGUCGAAGAUACCAGCUGGCUGCAACUGUUUAUUAAAAACACAGCACUGUGCAAACACGAAAGUGGACGUAUACGGUGUGACGCCUGCCCGGUGCCGGAAGGUUAAUUGAUGGGGUUAUCCGUAAGGAGAAGCUCUUGAUCGAAGCCCCGGUAAACGGCGGCCGUAACUAUAACGGUCCUAAGGUAGCGAAAUUCCUUGUCGGGUAAGUUCCGACCUGCACGAAUGGCGUAAUGAUGGCCAGGCUGUCUCCACCCGAGACUCAGUGAAAUUGAACUCGCUGUGAAGAUGCAGUGUACCCGCGGCAAGACGGAAAGACCCCGUGAACCUUUACUAUAGCUUGACACUGAACAUUGAGCCUUGAUGUGUAGGAUAGGUGGGAGGCUUUGAAGCGUGGACGCCAGUCUGCGUGGAGCCAACCUUGAAAUACCACCCUUUAAUGUUUGAUGUUCUAACGUUGGCCCCUUACCGGGGUUGCGGACAGUGUCUGGUGGGUAGUUUGACUGGGGCGGUCUCCUCCCAAAGCGUAACGGAGGAGCACGAAGGUUAGCUAAUCCUGGUCGGACAUCAGGAGGUUAGUGCAAUGGCAUAAGCUAGCUUGACUGCGAGCGUGACGGCGCGAGCAGGUGCGAAAGCAGGUCAUAGUGAUCCGGUGGUUCUGAAUGGAAGGGCCAUCGCUCAACGGAUAAAAGGUACUCCGGGGAUAACAGGCUGAUACCGCCCAAGAGUUCAUAUCGACGGCGGUGUUUGGCACCUCGAUGUCGGCUCAUCACAUCCUGGGGCUGAAGUAGGUCCCAAGGGUAUGGCUGUUCGCCAUUUAAAGUGGUACGCGAGCUGGGUUUAGAACGUCGUGAGACAGUUCGGUCCCUAUCUGCCGUGGGCGCUGGAGAAUUGAGGGGGGCUGCUCCUAGUACGAGAGGACCGGAGUGGACGCAUCACUGGUGUUCGGGUUGUCAUGCCAAUGGCACUGCCCGGUAGCUAAAUGCGGAAGAGAUAAGUGCUGAAAGCAUCUAAGCACGAAACUUGCCCCGAGAUGAGUUCUCCCUGAGACUUUAAGUCUCCUGAAGGAACGUUGAAGACGACGACGUUGAUAGGCCGGGUGUGUAAGCGCAGCGAUGCGUUGAGCUAACCGGUACUAAUGAACCGUGAGGCUUAACCUU
rnacentral:rRNA from 1 species